AGCAGCCGCGGUAAUUCCAGCUCCAAUAGCGUAUAUUAAAGUUGUUGCAGUUAAAAAGCUCGUAGUUGAAUUUCGGGAUUGACACAUCGGUCGUGCCUUAAGGGGUGUGAACUGGUGUAGUCAAUUUCUCACCUUCUGGAGAACCGCGAUGUCCUUAAUUGGGUGCCGCGAGGAACCAGGACCUUUACUUUGAAAAAAUUAGAGUGUUUAAAACAGGCAUUUUUGCUUGAAUACAUUAGCAUGGAAUAAUAAAAUAGGACGGCAUGAUUCUAUUUUGUUGGUUUCUAGGAUCACCGUAAUGAUUAAUAGGGAUAGUUGGGGGCAUUAGUAUUCAAUUGUCAGAGGUGAAAUUCUUGGAUUUAUUGAAGACUAACUACUGCGAAAGCAUUUGCCAAGGAUGUUUUUCAUUAAUCAAGAACGAAAGUUAGGGGAUCGAAGACGAUCAGAUACCGUCGUAGUCUUAACCAUAAACUAUGCCGACUAGGAAUCAGACGAUGUUAAUUUUUUAAUGACUCGUUUG
rnacentral:rRNA from 1 species